rnacentral:misc_RNA from 1 species
AACGCACAUUGCGCCCUCUGGUAUUCCGGGGGGCAUGCUUGUUCGAGCGUCAUUACACACCUCAAGCCCCGGCUUGGUAUUGGGUGCAUGUCCCCUGGGGACCCACCUGAAAAGUAGCGGCGAUGCGGCUGGACUUCGAGCGUAGUAAUUUACAAACCCGCUAUGAAGGCCCGGGCGUUGUCUGCCGGACAACCCACUAAUUUCUAUGGUUGACCUCGGAUCAAGUAGGAGUACCCGCUGAACUUAA